CCACAGCCACAGCAACUUGGGAUCUGAGCCACGUCUGCCACCUAUACCACAGCUCACAGCAACACUGGAUCCUUAACCCACUGAGCAAGGCCUGGGAUCAAACCUGUGUCCUCAUGGUUGCUAGUUGGGUUCAUUAAUCACUGAGCCAUGAUGGGAACUUCUCAUUCAGAUGCUUUGAUUCAUCCAUCUGACUCAGUAGUUUCCAGCUGGGGUAUGUGUGUGUGUAUGAGAGAUAGCAACAGAGACCAGAAGGAUUUUGCUUCCUUGGGGACAUUUGGCUAUGUCUGGAGACAUUUUUGGUUGUUAGAUGGAGGGUCCUACUGGCCUCUAAUGGGCAGAGGCUAAGGAUGCAGCGAACAUCCUGCAAAGCACAGAACAGCCCACAGAGCAGCAAAUUAUCUGACCCCGAGUUUCAGUAGUCCUGAGAUUAGAAACCCUGAACUAACUCUAAGUGCCAGGUAAAUACUCAAGGGUGCGAUGUUUUUGAAGGACACAUACAGAUGCUUUUUCCCAGAGUGCCAUCAAGAAAAUGAGAAUUCCUUGAUAAUUUACAAGUUCCAUCCAUCAUCAGUAGAAAAGAAUUUUUUUCAUGAAAAUUGUUUAAGGAGGACGUGGCUAAUUUUGACUGAAAUAUUUGGGGGAGAAAUAAUUGAGCAAUAUCUUUUUCCUUUCCCUGAAUCACAGUGGAUCCUUCCAAUUCUGGGGAUGAUUGGAACUUUCCUAGGGAGGCCCCUGAGAGCAGUGGAAGGACAGGAGCGCUGGCCCACAGAGUGACAUGGAGACCUUCUGAAAUUGGGUGAGCUGCUUCUUUCUGGAAUCACCCUUCAGAAGUCCCCUUAAACAGAGCUCGGUAAGUUUGUAUAUUUAGCAGGAGUGGGCUUGACAGAUUAAGGGGGGUGGAAAUCUCAGGGGGAGAGCAACUCUGGAAUCAUUGGAAUCACACCCAAGAAGUUUCCAGAAAUAGGAGAUGCAAAGAUGUCAGGAGUCAAUAAAUCAUGGAACUGGACAGAAAAGGGGGAAAACAGGCAAGAAUGAACAAGAGGUUGUUGUGAACACAGCCAGGGCUUGUCAUCUGUGGGGAGGGGGUCCAUCUGUUUAUCUGAGAGGCUCCAGGUGAGAUAAGAAUCAGAUGAAUACAUUUAUAAUCCUGAUUUGAGGGAGUUCCUGUCAUGGCUCAGUGGUCAACCAACCCUACUAGUAUCCAUGAGGAUGCGAGUUUGAUCCCUGGCCUUGCUCAGUGGGUUAAGGAUCCAGCGUUGCCAUGACCUAUGGUGUAGUUCUCAGACACAGCUCAGAUCUUCUGUGGCUGUGGCGUAGGACCAUUUGACCCCUAACCUGGGAACCUCCAUAUGCCUCAGGUGCAGCUCUAAAAAAAGACAAAAACAAACAAACAAAAAACAAUAAUCCCGCUUUGGCUUUGACUCCGGAGAUGACUCUAGGCCUCCUCUCUAAAGCCUUGCCCUUCUCCAUAAUCUGAAAGAAAGAAAAGCUCCACAGCUUGAGGCAGAAACCACAGUGCUGUCCUGUGUCACACUGGCGAGGUGAGGCCAGCACAGGGAAAAACAUGCCCGCGUACUCCCGCUCAGCCUGCCCCAACCCUUAGAAGCACUUCCGCUCUGCAGAGGCCGGUCCUCGAUGCCGCCACGUGACACGUGACAUGACCACAGACUGGAAGCAAGACCAAAAGGACACCAUGUACCUGAGGCCAUGUCUGCACAAAGACUCAAGAAGGGUGGAUUCCAAGACACACGGGGCCUGCAGACCCUGGGCAGAAGCCGGGCUGUGCCAUACUGUACUUAGCCUCUGCUCUCCAAUUUCAUCAUUGCUGGCUCAAAAUGGGCCUGCAAUUUUCAUUUCUUUAUGGGCUUAAGUAAUCUAUUGCAAAUGUCACCGGCAGGCUGUAAUGCAUUCUUGCCGAGGAAACUGUUCUUUUUCUUCAGUAACUUUCUGGUUGAAGAUUUGCCUGGCUGGGUAACUGUUUUACAUUAGCUGUAAUGGUGUUUACAUUGGAUGCACCGAUGUUUAAAUCACUGGACAUAUUUGUUAUUAGUAGGGAGGCAGUGGCAUUGUUUAGUCCGAGUAUCUGGGUGGUGGGGGGGAGGCGCUUCUAUUAGUAUUGAUAAUAUUUUACAAGAGACCUCGCAGGGAUGUUUAUAAUAAUAGCAACGCUGUUUAUCUUACCGGGAUUAUGUUGAAGCAACUUUAAUUGUAUUCAUAUUAAACAUAUCAAUGUUAGAACUGAUGUAAUAUGUUUAGCAUUAAUAUGAAGGUUGCUAAGUUGGGGGCUUUUGAGAUAGAAUUAAAGGGCCAGGAAGACAAUGGGACAUAUGGAAAGCAUUUGGGGGGUUUCUGUUCUUGUCUAACAAGAAGGAUUAGUGCGUUUGCCGAAAUACAGUAUAAGAUGUACAGUGGGUUGUAAUGCUAGCAUCUGUUUCCCUUACGAUCGAGUUCUCUUGGCUUGUGUGUGCGCGCGCGAUUGCUCUGGAGUCCUCGCUUCUCACAAGCUCCACCAAAGCCCAAAUGUCAGGGAUACUUCAGAUGCUUUGCAGCUGGCUGUCGCACCCAGAGAUGUUUCAAAAUGGAUUUUGUAAUGGCUUAUAAAAGUCCCACAUUGUGCACGGGCGGUUAUUGAGAGUGAUAUACUGUGCACAAGAAUGUUCCAAAUUCCCUCCGCGCUGUAUCCAUCAAUCGGGCUCUAUUAGGGUUGGCAGGAUAAUGGCUGGAGUGCAGCUCUGGACUUUAUCUUCAGCUGAAAGAAGCAUCCUAAUUAUCUACUCAUCAGAGCUACCCCACUCCUGGCUCAAGGAGCCCACUGCCAGCUCAGGCCCAGAAAUUCCAGAUCCUCACAGUCACCAGCCAGGCCCACGAAGGCCGAGAUGCAAGACUGUGUCCAGCCCAGCUGGGGAUUCGUGGGCCCAAUAAGCCCUGGAAAUCCAUCUCACUCCCCAGCUGGAGGCACCGUCCGGUUAACCCUUCAAGGCCCAUAUUCCGUGCUCCUGCUUCCGGUCCAGUUCUGUCCGGGGCUCCGACCCGGCUCCAGCAAGUCAGGAGCCCUGGUUUUGUGCAAUGUGGGGACAGGAGCUGCACCUCCCUCCAGAGGCCGGUGGGGGGAUGAGAUGAGAGAACAUGGGACAGCACUUAGCCGAGUAAAUCAGCACAUCAUGCACUCAUUAUUGGUCCAAUUAGAAAACCUAGCGGAGCAUUAGGACCUUACAGGAAAUGAAUGUUUUUCUGGAUAGAGGCAUGUCCACUUUCUAGUAGAGUACGCAAAUAGUAUUUAUAAAGAAUUUUCUUCUUUCCCCGCCACUCCUCACAAUUAAUAUCCUGUAAGCGUGUAUUCUUAUCAUUAUUUUCAUUCCUGUUUAAUUGAUGAGGAAACUACAACUCAGAAGAGAUGAUUUGCCCAUUUGCUCCCUGAUUAUUUCCUGAAUUCCUGCAUGCUGGCCAUUCAGGCUGCAGAGUUCAGGGUCCCUACCUCACUGCAGUUACCAAGCAGCUCAGAGAGGAAUAAACAUGCAGGCUCACCAGCUCCACGUGCCUUUUCCUAAGUCACCAUGCUACUUCCCUUCCAGAAAGUUCCCAGGAGGUCUGCAAAUGUGGGAAGGGGUUGAGUGAAGCACAUGUAUAAAUAAGUAUGAUGUGACGUGCAAAGGACUUAGGAGCCACAAGAGAUGGUGGUGGUGGUGGGAUUUGAGAAAAGAGACACUUGUUGGUAGAAAGAAAGGCUUCGUGGAGGAGGUGGAAUUUGCGCUGUGCUUGGGAAAUCGAUACAUUUAAAUAUGCAAAAGGAGAGAAGAGCAUUCUGGGCAGAGGAGACGGGGGAGUGAAGAUAUAGGGGCUGGAAACAGGAGGAACGUGUGGGGAAUAGCAGGUGGUAUCCUUUGGAUUCAAGUAAUGUGAAGGCAGAUCCCCGAGUGCUGAUCUGUAGGAGGAGAUCAGGGCAAGCUGAGGAGCUAGGCUUUUCCCUUCAGGAAAUGGGGAGCUGUGGAAGGUUUUAGAGUGGGAGCAUGACCUAUCUGAGCAGAGCUGAUUUUUCAGAAGAUUUAACUGAAAGUUUUGGAUGAAGCAGGUAGGAGGGAGAGGAGCAGGUGUAUCUGACGGCACAGAAAUCCAGGCCAAGUGAGGGAGGAGGAGUGGGAAGGAACAGAGAAUAUACAUUCCAGAGAGACCAGAGGUAGAAAUGUCACCACAUAUGACUGUUUCCUCCCUCUGCUCCUUGGAGGGGCAGCAGCUCAAAUGAGAGAAACUGCAGAGCAAGCCACGUGGCAAGUCAUGUGCCAGCAAGGUUCAGCCCAGGUUGUGUUUCCCAAGCUGGUGGGUAGCGUCUCUCUCUCACCUUAGGUAUAUACUUGGGAGGAUGUAGUAUUUUGCUUGAGCUGCCAUAGCAAAGUGCCACAGAGGGUUCUUAAACAAUAGAAAUGUAUUCUCUCACAGGUCUGGAGGCUAAAGUCCAAGGUCAGGGUGUCCACAGGAUUGGUUUCUUCCAAGGCCUCUCUUUGGCUUGUGGAUCUGUCUUUUCUGUGUCUUCACAUGGUCUUCCCUCUGUACCUGUGUCCACAAUUCCUCUUCUUCUAAGGACACCAGUCAUAUGGAUUAAGACCCACCCUAAAUGGCCUCAUUUUAACUGAAUCACCUCUUUAAAGCCCCUAUCUCCAAAUACGGUCAGAUUCUAAGAUACUGGAGGUUAGGACCUCAACAAAUAAAUUUGGGGGGCUCACUAUUCAGCCCAUAACACAGUCACUUAUAGAUCCCCCCCAGAUGCUUAGUGUCAUGUGAAUGCCACCCCAAACCAGAAUAAAAUCAGGCAAUUCCCAGGCUCGCCUCAGUGGUCCAAGAAUAACUCACCUUCCACCAGCAACAGGAAUGGGUAGUGGAUGAACUCUGCGGCCAGCCUGCCUGGGUUCAAAUCACAGCUCUGCUACUUACUAGUUGAUGACCUUGCAAGGAUGACUUAUUCUCUCUAUGCCUGAAUUUUCUCAUUUAUGAAAUCAAUAGUAAUCUUCACCGGAUAAUGUUUUUAUGAGAGUUUCAUGAGUGAAUGCAUGUAAAGAUCUUAGAUGGUACCUGGUACCUAAUAAAUGUUCAACACGUGUUAAUUGUGACAUCCCAUUGGUGCACCGGCUCCUGGCUGGGAUGGAGGUGGUAGGCAAUAGAAGAAAAUAGGUCAAGAAGGCUUUUACCAAGGAAAAAUAAGGUCUAAAGGCUUUUCUCAGCAUUUUGUGAAGUCCAUAGGCAGGGCUACAUUCAUUCUCCAAAUGGCUACAUGGGCUACAAAAGUCUAAGCCUUCACCUUGGGGUCAUCAUUCAGCAUAUCCUGAGUGCUGGGCGGGAGGAGAGAGCUGGGUUCUGUUCAGAGCUAGCAGAGGAGCAGGGAGCCUGUGCAAAUCACAGGAACACAGAGGGCCUGAGACUGAACCACGUGGUUUAUUAAUACAAAGCCACACUGGCCUGGCUGGGGGUGGGAAAGGAAGAUGAGGAGGAUCUUGCAAGCAGUGAAGGAUUACGAGACCUAUUGAGUCAAAUCCUGCCUUGGAGGAGUGUCCCCACAGGGCUGUGACUAGGGUAAAGCCAGUGAGGCACUGAUCCCAGGCACAAAAUGUAAGGGGGUGUCAAAACUCAAUAAAAAAGAUAAAAAUAACAAUUUAACCGAGUUCCUUUAAAAAUCAAUGUUACUG
rnacentral:lncRNA from 1 species